CUCAUCUCGAAUUCCCACAUGUUGUGGGAGGGACUGGGUGGUGGGAGUUAAUUGAAUCAUGGGAGUAGGUCUUUCCCAUUCUGUUCUUGUGAUAGUGAAUAAGUCUCAUGAGAUCUGAUGGGUUUUAAAAAAUGGGAGUUUCCCUGAACAAGCUCUCUUCUCUUGUCUGCCAACAUGUGAGAUGUGCCUUUCACCUUCUGCCAUGAUUGUGAGGCCUCCCCAG
rnacentral:lncRNA from 1 species